rnacentral:misc_RNA from 1 species
GAUGAAGAACGCAGUAAAAUGCGAUACUUGGUGUGAAUUGCAGAAUCCCGUGAACCAUCGAGUUUUUGAACGCAAGUUGCGCCCGAAGCCUUUUGGCCGAGGGCACGUCUGCCUGGGCGUCACGCAUCGCGUCGCCCCCCACAAUUCUCCGUAAAAGGAACAUGUGUUUUGGGGGCGGAUAUUGGUCUCCCGUGCUCAUGGCGUGGUUGGCCGAAAUAGGAGUCCUUUCGAUGGACGCACGAACUAGUGGUGGUCGUAAAAACCCUCGUCUUUUGUUUCGUGCUGUUGCUCGCAAGGUAAACUCUUUAAAAACCCCAAUGUGUCGUCUCUUGACGACGCUUCGACCGCGACCCCAGGUCAGGCGGGACUACCCGCUGAGUUUAAGCAUAUCAAUAAGCGGAGGA